UGGGGAAUUUUGGACAAUGGGCGAAAGCCUGAUCCAGCAACUCUGCGUGUGUGAAGAAGGUCUUCGGAUUGUAAAGCACUUUAAGUUGGGAGGAAGGGCAGUUACCUAAUACGUGAUUGUUUUGACGUUACCGACAGAAUAAGCACCGGCUAACUCUGUGCCAGCAGCCGCGGUAAUACAGAGGGUGCAAGCGUUAAUCGGAAUUACUGGGCGUAAAGCGCGCGUAGGUGGUUAGUUAAGUUGGAUGUGAAAUCCCCGGGCUCAACCUGGGAACUGCAUUCAAAACUGACUGACUAGAGUAUGGUAGAGGGUGGUGGAAUUUCCUGUGUAGCGGUGAGAUGCGUAGAUAUAGGAAGGAACACCAGUGGCGAAGGCGACCACCUGGACUGAUACUGACACUGAGGUGCGAAAGCGUGGGGAGCAAACAGGAUUAGAUACCCCAGUAGUCCCUGAGCGGGCUGGCAAGGCGCAU
rnacentral:rRNA from 1 species